rnacentral:lncRNA from 1 species
AGUUCAGUUUUAUUGGUUGCACGCACAGUCAGUUAUUUCAUCCAGAAAAUCUGAAGGCCCUACAAACUAACCAGAACAGUAAGGGUUGAAACUGAAGGCCGAUUGUGAAUACUAUCCACCGGGAGCUUCUUAUGAAUUGACUCAUGUUCCUCAGAUAAUAAAUAACACUAAAAGACACCAGUUAGCUUCUGACCUCAAGGAGUGCUACUUUCAUCUCCUGCAAGCUUUGAAAAGGGAUCUGAUACCUGACAACAUCUUGACAAAAGCACAUCCCAUCUUCUGAUGGAAGCUGAACCAAAAUUAUUGAUGUCGCUAGUGAUUCAGGGUACUCUAGAUUGUUUGGAGUCCUAUAUAAAUACAUUUAAUAGACAAAAAAAUUGCUGCCUUAAUCUAAGCAGAAAUGACCUUAGUAGAUAGAUACUGCUUACCCCACUGAUGCAUUAGAGCUAUACUAGUUCUACUCCUAAUUCUUGAGAAGCUGUGUUUUCUCUAAUUUAUUUCCUUUUUGAUCUUCACCUAUAGUUUUGCUAGGCUUAUUUGUAACUUCUGUAUCCAUAAAUAAAUAAUCGCUGUGGCUUUAGCAUUAAAUAAUAUCUAUCUAUUUAAUAUUUUGAGUCAUCAUUUUUAUUGUGGCUAAUGAUAAUGACUGGGAAUUAACAGAAAGGUGACAGAUUUCUAAAGAUGCCUUUGAAAAAUGGCUAUUUGCCUCUGUCCUCUCACCUUUGAAAAUAAACUGUAUUUUUUAAUCUUUGUUAUCAAUGAAUAUUAUAAGAUCUGAACACUGUUAUGCUAAUAUAUAUGUGUGCAUCUAUCAUAAGAAAUAUAGAAAAUAUUUAUUACAACUAUUGGCAAGAAUGUGGAGUAACUGGAACUCUCUUACACUGCUGGUUGGAAAAUAAAAUGUUUUAAAUACUUUGAUGAA